UAAAAAAGGUAUAAAAAUGUGUGGAUAUGUUGUACAAGGGGUAUGCUAAGAGCGUACAAAGAUAUAGAAAGGGUGCAUAAAGGUUGUAGAAAAUAUCUACAAAGGUUGUAGAAAGGAUAUACAUAAGAAAUAUUAAGGUUGUAGAAAGAAUGCACAAAAAGUGUAAAAAGGGAGAAUUUUUUACCCUUUCUAACACUAAUUUGUCUUUGAUCCCACGACUCUGUGGCAUGCCCUUCAAAUUUAGA
rnacentral:lncRNA from 1 species